AAUUAUUAAUGAAAUUGGUCAACUGGUUCAUGAGAUAUCGCACUAACAAGGAUAGAUGGACAUGCUGAUUGCUAUAUCCCCCGUAUUUCAUACCGGGGG